CAGCAGCCGCGGUAAUACGUAGGAUGCGAGCGUUAAUCGGAAUUACUGGGCGUAAAGCGUGCGCAGGCGGUUAUAUAAGACAGAUGUGAAAUCCCCGGGCUCAACCUGGGACCUGCAUUUGUGACUGUAUAGCUAGAGUACGGUAGAGGGGGAUGGAAUUCCGCGUGUAGCAGUGAAAUGCGUAGAUAUGCGGAGGAACACCGAUGGCGAAGGCAAUCCCCUGGACCUGUACUGACGCUCAUGCACGAAAGCGUGGGGAGCAAACAGGAUUAGAUACCCCCGUAGUCCCUGUCUCUUAUAC
rnacentral:rRNA from 1 species